rnacentral:lncRNA from 1 species
ACUAUCAGGAAUCUGGUAGCAAUGCAAAGCUAAGGCACUGUGCUAAGUUUGACUUACAGAGACGAAUAUUUGGCCACAUCUUCAAGGAGCUCAGACCUUCAUGGACAUACCAAAUAUAUACAGAACUAACUCUACUGCUUAUCACAAUGAGAGCUGUGCCGUGGAUAUUUGAAAGUUAGAGAGAUUUAUUUUCAACAGAAUAAUAAAGUCAACUUUCACAAA